rnacentral:rRNA from 1 species
GACGAACGCUGGCGGCGUGCUUAACACAUGCAAGUCGAACGGAAAGGCCCUGCUUUUGUGGGGUGCUCGAGUGGCGAACGGGUGAGUAACACGUGAGUAACCUGCCCUUGACUUUGGGAUAACUUCAGGAAACUGGGGCUAAUACCGGAUAGGAGCUCCUGCUGCAUGGUGGGGGUUGGAAAGUUUCGGCGGUUGGGGAUGGACUCGCGGCUUAUCAGCUUGUUGGUGGGGUAGUGGCUUACCAAGGCUUUGACGGGUAGCCGGCCUGAGAGGGUGACCGGCCACAUGGGGACUGAGAUACGGCGCAGACGCCUACGGGAGGCAGCAGUGGGGAAUAUUGCACAAUGGGCGGAAGCCUGAUGCAGCAACGCCGCGUGCGGGAUGACGGCCUUCGGGUUGUAAACCGCUUUCGCCUGUGACGAAGCGUGAGUGACGGUAAUGGGUAAAGAAGCACCGGCUAACUACGUG